GCUCCCACACAGCCUUUCAGUGGGUACUGCGGACCUCAGGGAAAGUGCCCAAGUGGGAAUUCUCAGUGGCCCUGGCUCCUCUCUCAUUUGGGGCAGGGUCACAAGCCUGGCUGACUGCCUCCCAUGGUGCAUGUCCUUGCAUGAAGGAAGUGCUGACUCCCCCCAGCAGCCUGGAUAUGUGGCAGCGGCAGCAGGGCAGGUCACCUUCGUCUUCUGCCCCACAGAUGUGGGUUUUGAGAGUUCUGUGGGUACUGGCUUUGCUUCCGACCUGUUCCCAAAGGCUAGCAGAGGGGAACCCCGAGUGCUGAGGACGGAGCUCACAGAUUUGUGCUCGGGAGGGGCUCUACCACAGAGCCAAAUCGCCACCUAAGAUGCAGCUUGGAAGGAAGGAAGAAGCAUUUAUUCUGGCACACGGUUUCAGAGGAGGUACAGUCAAUCAUGGUGUGGCCAGCACAGCAGAAGGACUUUAUGACAGACAAAAUGCAAACAUGAAAAAUGAAGAUGAAUUUUCACACCCAUCUCAACUGUGCUUCAAUCAUUGCCAAUUUAUGGCCAAUCUCAAACUGUUUAUACCUUCACUUCCCAUUUUCUACACAAGCAGUCCAGCAUCUCCUGCAAGAUCGUGAGCCGAUGUCCGCAUGGUGGCCUUCCAUGGCUUCCUUAUUGCUGGUGUGACCAGGCACACUGGCCUCACCCUGGAAAUCUGUGACCCAGAGUAGAAUCAGCAGCCAGUGUCUUUGGGAAAGAGACCCAGCCUCUUGAGUUCUGGCAACUGGCUGUUUUGAGGUAAUAGGCCCACCGUGGAGUUCCCAGGCUCUCUAGGCCUUUGAAGAUUCUUAAAUACAAUAACCCUCAUUUGGUCUCAACUUCAUUAGAAUAAAGAUUCAAAACAGGAUAUAGAGCCUGCCAGCCAGAGCAGUCAACAUUUAUUUAGCCCUUUAGCCCACUGUCCCCAAGACACAGUGAGCUAAAUAAAGCAAUAAGGAAGGCCAGUGGUAGGUAGAUGGCAACUAGUGCCGUAUAAAAGAAAAGCCACAGGGUGGGGAGGCAGACACAUUGCGGGCUGGUGCUAUGUCUGCUUGGCACAAGCUAGAGUCAUUUGGGAAGAAGAAAUCUUAGCUGAGAAAAUGUCGCCAUUAGAUUGGCCUGUGGGCAAGCCAAUUUUCUUGAUUGAUAGCUGAUGUGGGAGGGACCAGCUCGGUAUGGGUGGAGCCAACCCUAGGAAAGUGGUCCUAAGUAGUGCAGGAAAGCCAACUGAGCUAUCUAGGAGGGGCAAGUCAGUAAGCAACAUCCCUCCACGGCCUCUGCUCCAG